CCCCAGCCCAACCAGCCCGUUCAAUUUCCUCCUUACAAUUCUCAUAAUAUGUAUUCACCGUCGCAAAAAAACACCUUUUUCACUAAUCGGACUUAAGUGGUUCUAGCUCUUAGCGUAAUUGCACUAUCUGACUGAUAUUGGUAUCAAUUUGCAGAAUGUAAGAUACCUACUAACAUUCUUCUUCCUCGCGUUAUCCCGGCAUUUUGCCACGGCUCAUGGGAGCCUGGGGUCCGCUUGACAACUAAUCCCAAGAAUUGGCGUAGGCACUAGUUUUUACGAAAGCGACUGCCAUCUGACCUUCCAACCCAGAGGGUAAACUAGGCCUUAUUGGGAUUAGUCCGGUUUCCUCACGAUGUUUUCCUUCACCGAAAAGCGACUGGUAAAUAUCAAAUGAUAUUUCGUACAUAAUUCUGUUACUCGAUUUGCAACCUCUUUCUUUCCGUUAAAACAAAUGCUACCGAAAAAAUAAAAAAAUGACAUAAUGUGGUGGAUUUGUGAGCUAUAAUUUUAUACCACA